CCUACGGGUGGCAGCAGUGGGGAAUAUUUGGCAUUGGGCGCAAGCCUGACCCGGCAACGCCGCGUGAAGGAAGAAGGCUUUCGGUUUGUAAACUUCUUUUCUCAGGGACGAAGCAAGUGACGGUACAUGAGGAAUAAGCCACGGCUAACUACGUGCCAGCAGCCGCUGUAAUACGUAGGUGGCAAGCGUUAUCCGGAUUUACGGGAGGUAAAGAGCGAGUAGGCGGGAAAGCAAGUCAGAUGUGAAAACCAUGGGCUCAACCUGGGGCCUGCAUUUGAAACUGUUUUGCUUGAGUACUGGAGAGGGAGAUGGAAUUCCUAGUGUAGCGGUGAAAUGCGUAGAGAUUAGGAGGAACACCAGUGGCGAAGGCGGUCUGCUGGACAGCAACUGACGCUGAGGCGCGAAAGCGUGGGGAGCAAACAGGAUUAGAUACCCCAGUAGUC
rnacentral:rRNA from 1 species